GAAUUUGUGAUUGCAACCGAUAGCGGUAGUAAAACAAGAAGAAUUUUUUUGUUAAGAUUAUUGCAUUCACAUUGCAAAAGUCAGAGGUUCGAAUCCUCUCGGAUCCA
rnacentral:tRNA from 1 species